rnacentral:rRNA from 1 species
UACGAAGGGGGCUAGCGUUGCUCGGAAUCACUGGGCGUAAAGGGUGCGUAGGCGGGUCUUUAAGUCAGGGGUGAAAUCCUGGAGCUCAACUCCAGAACUGCCUUUGAUACUGAAGAUCUUGAGUUCGGGAGAGGUGAGUGGAACUGCGAGUGUAGAGGUGAAAUUCGUAGAUAUUCGCAAGAACACCGGUGGCGAAGGCGGCCAUCUGGCCCGUAUUUGACGCUGAGGCGCGAAAGCGUGGGGAGCAAACAGG